AUCUAACUAACGAGUCCCGAAUAGGACGAAAAGCAUGUCCUGGAU
rnacentral:hammerhead_ribozyme from 1 species